UAAUACGUAGGAGGCGAGCGUUGUCCGGAAUCACUGGGUGUAAAGCGCGUGUAGGCGGCCUGCCAAGUCUGCUGUGAAAGCGCCUGGCUUAACCGGGCGAGGUCGGUGGAAACUGGCGGGCUGGAGGACGGUAGAGGGGGGUGGAAUUCCCGGUGUAGUGGUGAAAUGCGUAGAGAUCGGGAGGAACACCAGUGGCGAAGGCGGCCCCCUGGGCCGUUCCUGACGCUGAGACGCGAAGGCGCGGGGAGCGAACGGGAUUAGAUACCCCGGUAGUCCGCGCAGUAAACGAUGCAUGCUAGGUGUGGGGGGUAUCGAGCCCCUCCGUGCCGACGGUAACCCAAUAAGCAUGCCACCUGGGGAGUACGGCCGCAAGGUUA
rnacentral:rRNA from 1 species